rnacentral:rRNA from 1 species
UACAGAGGGUGCAAGCGUUGUUCGGAAUUACUGGGCGUAAAGCGCGUGUAGGCGGCGGUAUAAGUCGGGUGUGAAAUCCCUUGGCUCAAUCAAGGAAGUGCAUUCGAUACUGUAUCGCUUGAGUACUGGAGGGGAUGGCGGAAUUCCCGGUGUAGAGGUGAAAUUCGUAGAUAUCUGGAGGAACACCUGUGGCGAAGGCGGCUCACUGGCCCGGUACUGACGCUGAGGUGCGAAAGCGUGGGGAGCAAACAGG